rnacentral:lncRNA from 1 species
UUGCUAGUCAGACACGGGGAUGCUCGCAAUGCCUCUAUCAAAGACGCGUCGUACUGUGUUGUUAUGUGUUGUAAUAGUUAUUUCAUUGAAAAAUUAAUUUCAUCGUUGAAAAAUCCAUUUUUUCGUCUUUAAAGGAACAUAAAAAAAACCAAAAAAAAAAAAAACAAAAAAAAAAAAACAAGUCUGAACAACUCCAAUUUACGUUUCGAAUAUCGAAGACUCUUUCAUCUAGUUUGAAAAGUGUUUAUUUCGUUUUAUUUCGUUGCUCUAAUUUCAAAAUUAUCAUAAAAAAAGAAGAAGAAAAAAGCAAAACAAAAAAAAUAGAAAAAUCUUUAAAAAAAAAAAGGAACAAAAUUCAAGCAUUGCCUUACAACAUUAUACCUACACUACAAGAACAAAAUUUGAAGCAAAGAGAAAAUACAAAAAAAAAACAUAGAUGUUCACAAAGAGAAAAAUUUAGGUGUUAAAAAAGUAAAUUGUAAAGAUAUG